GUCAUGACCAUAUAUGGUCAGAUUUGCCGGCAAGACGACGCGGCGACGCAUAUAAAAUUGGCUCUACCUGCUCCGCGGAUAAUUCGCUGGGAUCGUCUGCCGGGAAGUUACUCUGCUUGGCGGCUGCUUGGUCAUGCCGUCCGGAGUCAAGUACUACGGCAGCUACUGCUGCGCUGCGUGGUGCAACAACAACGGCAGGACAGGGAGAGAGCGUGGUACUAAGUGGUUCAGGAUUCCGCGAGACGACAGCCCAGUCUACCAGUCCAUUUGUGGCAUGUGAGAGCUUUGUUGACAUGAGGUCUGACCCGGAGAUCCUUCAUUCAUGACUGCAGUGAACCUUUCCCACCUUAUGGUUCACAGGGUCAAGGGGUAACCAAAGCGGCUUCCAGGAGA